AGAUGAGCAAGAAGUGGCAAAUAUGCGGGAGGUCCUGAUGAAGAGAAUAUGGUGCUUUGUCCAGAUGAGAAAACUGAGGCACAGCGAAGUUAAUGAACUUGACCCAGAGCAUAUAGACCAUGACUGCCAGAGCUGGGUUCAAACUCAGGCUCUCUGGCUCCAGGAAUCUCUAUUCUAUUGGAGUUGCCAACAGGUCCAGUGUGGACAGACCUUCCCAUUUUUUCAAGAAAAUCCAUGAAUAUAGACAAAAUCUCCUAAUUGCUAAACAUGAGUAAAAAUUUUUAACAGCGGUAUUUUGCAAGCUACACAGACUCCAUCUGUAGCCCAGCUAUGGCUCAUGGCCACCAUUUUGUAACUUCCGACCAGAAGGAAGAUGAGGAGGGUGGCCUCGCAGAUGCUAUGAAUGGAAGAGCAUUGGGGAAGUGGCCUCAUUCCUCUAAAUAUCUCCCCUAGUGUGGCCUGAAUUUCAUUAUUAGUUUAUCUUCCAAAUUAAAAUUGAGUACUCUACGUUCAUUUAAAAAAACUAUGGCAGAGAGUGGAACCUUCUAAAAUCC
rnacentral:lncRNA from 1 species